rfam:Schistosoma haematobium scaffold306_6, whole genome shotgun sequence.
AUUCAGUUGACGAGUCCCAGACAGGACGAAACACGUGUCCUGGAU